AUUGAACGCUGGCGGCAGGCUUAACACAUGCAAGUCGAGCGGUAGCACAGGGGAGCUUGCUCCCUGGGUGACGAGCGGCGGACGGGUGAGUAAUGUCUGGGAAACUGCCUGAUGGAGGGGGAUAACUACUGGAAACGGUAGCUAAUACCGCAUAACGUCGCAAGACCAAAGAGGGGGACCUUCGGGCCUCUUGCCAUCAGAUGUGCCCAGAUGGGAUUAGCUAGUAGGUGGGGUAAUGGCUCACCUAGGCGACGAUCCCUAGCUGGUCUGAGAGGAUGACCAGCCACACUGGAACUGAGACACGGUCCAGACUCCUACGGGAGGCAGCAGUGGGGAAUAUUGCACAAUGGGCGCAAGCCUGAUGCGGCCAUGCCGCGUGUGUGAAGAAGGCCUUCGGGUUGUAAAGCACUUUCAGCGAGGAGGAAGGUGGUGAGCUUAAUACGUUCAUCAAUUGACGGUACUCGCAGAAGAAGCACCGGCUAACUCCGUG
rnacentral:rRNA from 1 species